UCUGUUGUCUUCCCUACCACCUCUUCCAAAAACUCUAAUGCUACAGCAUGCCAUGCAAAGAAUUUCUGGGAAAGUAUGUAGAGCACUUUUUCAAGUAACUAUACAAGCAACAGUACCAUCAGCUGUUGUCAGGUUGAUUUAUUUUUUCCUCAAGUGGAGGAAAUAGUCCUCUUUGUGUUUUUGCAGGGUGUUUGGUAUGUGUGAGAAAAUAGUUGUGAGAGCAGGGAGACCGCGUGGUGCAGGAGGAAGCAUCCUGAGUGCCUCAGGUGCUUUCAGUGGCUAAAUUCUCAGAUUGCUCAUGCAGAGAUGAGCUAGGAUCAGAUCUGGUGAGAAAAAUGAAGUCACCACAAAUAUAAAAUUAAAAAAAUAAGUAAUAUCAAAUUACUCAAAAAGAAUAAUCCUAAUUCCACAGCCUAACUAUGUGUUUCAGAAGCAUCUUUGGACCUGACUUCUGCUAGUUUUGUCUGAUGGUUCCAAAACCUUGAUCUGCAAGAAGCAGGAGACUGUGGCGUAUAUUACCUCUGCAUCAAUUUCAGUUUUUCUCUUUUCACCCCCUAUCUCUUUCCUUUUCUCCCCACUCUUCUUCACCUCCACCUCUGCAUCUUCUGCUUCUCUUUUCUUCUGCCGCUUCUUGGUUCUGUCUGUGUGCUGAACUUCUCUUUACAAAUUCAUCUUAUCAGUCUCUCUCUCCCUCUGCCUCACAUGACCGUCACCCACCCACUCAAACCAAAGCAUCUGUGCACAAGCUUGGAAACAUUCAGGUACCUAAAACCUAGAGAGCUACUGUAUUGGCAUAGAUGUAAGGCAGGGGAAAAAGAAUGCCAUGAAAUGAGAAUAGCCCCUGCUCUGGCCUUGCAGAGAGUUUAGCUCCAGUUCUGCAGCCUCCCCAACCGCACGCUGUCCGCUUGCCAGGCUUCCCUCUGCCCAGGCAGUGUACGUGAACCUCCUUGGUAUGCGGGACCAGGUCCAACCCUGCUGCCUGGCUGCUGCAGCUGUGCAGCCGCCCUUGCCACCACACUCCACCCCAUGGCUUGAGCAGGGGAAGCAUGGUGCAUCCAUCCAUCAGUGAAACCCAGUCCUUUAAAACAAAGAUUAGCUUUUUUAAGUAGUUCCUGUGAAGAUAGACAGAAGUCUCUUUGUUGGCUUAGGUAACUAUUGUAGAAAUUACUGGCUUCAGGUUAAUCACUGCAAAAUAAGUUGAUUUUGCUCAGCAUCCAUGAUCAGCGCUGGCUCCCAAGUUACUGGAAAAGGGACAGGUGUUAAGGAUCCCACCACAUUGCUCAAAGACUACAGCUUUUUUCCUGAGCGUCAGUUUAGUGAGUGUGAGGUUGUAGCACUCCUCCAUAACAAGCUCCCAUUUCAGACUUUCUCUUUUCAGCUUUGCUUUGUAUAGGUCAUAAAGGAUUUCUGAUGCAAGCCUCCUUAACUCAUUUCUUUAGAACUUUCUACUUACAAAAACUAUGAGGUGAUUUCUCUUCCCAAACAAUGCCUUUGAUACAGGAUGUAAGCUGAUUUUUAUGGCAGUCGUAUUUUUCAUUCUCCAUGCAAGACACACACAAUAAAAACCUAAAUUACUUCGUGUCAUUCAGCUGGUUCCAUAAGGCUUCUAUUGAAAACUCAUGGAUAGAUGGAUCAUUUCACUUCUCUGAAUAAGUUAUGUAAUUGGAAGAGUUCAUUUCAUUUCAGAAUUAAAAGCUAAUAAAUGGCUCGGAGUUCUGUCUAUGAAAUGUGAUUAUUAUUUGGAACAAGGCAAUGCUAGCAUGAAUUAACAAACAAUGUUAAUGGAUGAUAAGUAAUUUUGUUUAGAAAUUAAAUGUUACAUUAACCAAAAUGUAGAAGUUUGCAUUUGGCAAAGUGAUGUGAUGCCAUAGCAACAGAUGACAAUUACAAGCAGCUUUGGGGACUUGCCCACAUUCCUUCUUAGCCACCCCAGUCCUCCUAUAUCCAUGGUGCAGAUGAAUUAUAACCCCUGCUUUCCAACCUUCCUUGAAAAAAACAUACUCCUCUUCUUAGAAAGUAAGAAGGUCCGGUACUAGGCCACUUAAAACCAGAAGUGAAUCCAUGUGGUAGACAUGUUACUUGCUUAUAUGCUGCUAGUGGGGGAUAAGUCUAGAACUGCUUCAAAUUGUACGUCAGAUCAGGCGAACACCAUUUGGGAACGUACUUAUCUAUUGUAUUUUAAUUUGAAAUAAUUUGCUGUAUCAUUUUUUACAUUCAGCUAUAGAUUGAUGUAGUCACAGACUUUCUGAUGGUUGAAAUGCUGUAAAAAAAAAAAAAA